UGUAUGUCAAUAGCGCCAGGACUGAAUAUUCAGUUGACGAGGUGAAGGUGAUCGAACAAUUCGGCGGAUGCCUUCCAGUAUUAGCCUAUGCUGCAAGAGAUGAACGAAAAACAUUGGGCGACCAGUGGAUACAAGGGACUCUCAAGGCUAAGU
rnacentral:ncRNA from 2 species